UACGGAGGGGGCUAGCGUUGUUCGGAAUUACUGGGCGUAAAGCGCACGUAGGCGGCUUUGUAAGUUAGAGGUGAAAGCCCAGGGCUCAACCCUGGAAUUGCCUUUAAGACUGCAUCGCUUGAAUCAUGGAGAGGUGAGUGGAAUUCCGAGUGUAGAGGUGAAAUUCGUAGAUAUUCGGAAGAACACCAGUGGCGAAGGCGACUCACUGGACAUGUAUUGACGCUGAGGUGGCGAAAAGCGUGGGGGAGCAAACAGG
rnacentral:rRNA from 1 species